ACAGCAGUAGCCGCGGUAAUACGUAGGUGGCAAGCGUUGUCCGGAAUUAUUGGGCGUAAGGGCCCGCAGGCGGUUUCUUAAGUCUGAUGUGAAAGCCCCCGGCUCAACCGGGGAGGGUCAUUGGAAACUGGGAAACUUGAGUGCAGAAGAGGAGAGUGGAAUUCCACGUGUAGCGGUGAAAUGCGUAGAGAUGUGGAGGAACACCAGUGGCGAAGGCGACUCUCUGGUCUGUAACUGACGCUGAGGAGCGAAAGCGUGGGGAGCGAACAGGAUUAGAUACCCCGGUAGUCCCUGUCUCUUAUACA
rnacentral:rRNA from 1 species